rnacentral:rRNA from 1 species
UACGUAGGUGGCAAGCGUUGUCCGGAUUUAUUGGGUUUAAAGGGUGCGUAGGCGGUCUAUUAAGUCAGUGGUGAAAUACUCCAGCUUAACUGGAGGGGUGCCAUUGAUACUGAUGGACUUGAGUGAAGUCGAGGUAGGCGGAAUUGACGGUGUAGCGGUGAAAUGCUUAGAUAUCGUCAAGAACACCAAUAGUGAAGACAGUCUUACGUAGCUAUACUGACGCUGAGGCACGAAAGUGUGGGGAUCAAACAGG